AUGCUCCUGAUGCUCCUCCCAGUUCUGGGGGUACACUUUCUCCUGAGAGACUCCAGAGCACAGUCAGUGACUCAGCCUCAAGCUCGCAUCACUGUCACUGAAGAAGCCUCUCUGCAGCUGAGAUGCAACUAUUCCUCCAGUAUGACGCCUCACCUGUUCUGGUAUGUCCAGUACCCACAGCAGGGGCUCCAGCUGCUCCUCAAGUAUUACUCCGGAGAACCCGUGGUUCCUGGCUUGAGAGGCUUUGAGGCUGAGUUUAGCAAGAGUGACUCUUCCUUCCACCUGAAGAAAGCCUCUGUGCACCUGAGCGAUUCAGCUGUGUAUUUCUGUGCUCUGAGUGCACAGUGUCUGUGGCUGCAGGGGGAGCUGAACAUAAACACCCAUGGCAUCAACCUCUCCUACAAAGGCACCCCCACCCCAGCAGAAUACUUCUGCCAUGCUGGAGGCCAAACCAGUAGUAGGAACCCCAGGUAA